AAAAUCGAAUGAUGUUGUGAAUUAUUUUUACUUAGAUAAAGACAUUUCAUCAGAAUAUGUUUAUUUAAUACUUGACCUGUGUGAAGAAUCGCUGGAGGAUUUUGUGCAAUCGGAAUCAAAUAGUUUGGCUUAUCUUCAAAAAUCGCUUCCCAAAGUUCUCAGACAAAUUUUAAAAGGUUUAGCUCAUCUUCACAGCGACCCAUAUCCUAUUCUCAUCUGGAUUUAAAGCCUUCUAAUGUUUUCCGAGACGCGCAGGGCAAAUGUUUAAUAGCUGACUUUGGUAUGAGUCGAAUUUUGAAGAAUGAAUCUAACACAUUAAAAAUAUCCAGAACUGAUCCACGGAAGACAAGAGCCAACGAGGAGAAAGUAAAUGUAGAGAAACAUGAAGAAUUCCAAGAAAACAAAUUGGAAAUAGCAAAAACCCAGCAGAAACAACCAGAAGAUUUACCACAGCGACCAGAAAGUUAGCAACACUUAAAGCCAAAUGAACUAAUUGAAGAAGCAAAUCAUGACGACAACUUCCAUAAACUUCUAGACGAAAGUAAGAAUAUUCAAGCUGACGUUCACGAGGCUCUCCUAAGUUGUUCGUGGCUUAGUAGGAAGUAUGGAAUAGCUCGCCCAAACAAGAAGAUGCCGUUUCUUCAUUUGUAUGUCACAAGCACAAUUGAUUUUGAGAAAGAAAAUUCGGAGGCUGCUAUAAAAAAUGAGAUCGAUGAAAAGUUAAAAUGGAAAGCAUCGCAAUACAUCGAAUUACGAUCUAAACCAUUGAAAGAAGCAAAGUUUCGAAUGCUGUAAAAGCGAAAACUUCAUUUAUUUACUUUCCACUGUAGAUUUUUAAACAGCUAGAUUUGAUGAGUGAGUCAAAACAUAUGGAUAUUAGAUACUGCACGUUUCUAUUCCUUUACAUUGUCAUGUAGUUACUCUUACUAUAAAAACAUUUACUAAGUAUUUGCCAUUCAACAUGACUAAUUUCAGUACUUUGCCGUCAUGUAUUUAUAAAUAAAUAUUUGUUUGGUUUGCA